rnacentral:rRNA from 1 species
AUGGCUUAUUCUACCAUGUUUUUUAUGUUGGGCCUGACAAAUUUGUUGGGAAUCCAUGCCACCAGUAUCCAAGGAAUUUUCAGGUUUAUCUACACUCUUCUCAGCCUGGGGAUCAUCAUGUGCUUGCUGACCUGCUCUGGCCAUAUCGCCGCUGAAACGGCAAACAGCCCCUGCCUGUCUUGUCACAUGAUCUUUGUAUUUUUGCUUGUUAUACUGGAGGCUGCAAUCGCCGCUGAUGUAUUUCUGAAUAGCUACUGGGAGGAGGAUUUCCCAGAUGACCCAUCCGGGAAGUUUGAUGAAUUCAAGCAUUUCGUGAGAUCAAAUUUUGACAUUUGUGAAUGGGUAGCCCUCUCGGUGGUGGCUGCUCAGGCGCUGUCAAUCAUUCUUGCGAUGGUACUCAGGGCCCUUGGCCCCGACAAUGAAAUCGAAUACGACAGUGACGAUGAUGCAGUGCCCGCAAGGCUGCCUCUCCUAAGGAACAAGCCCCAGCAUGGUCCAAACUAUGGUGAACCUAACUCACCUCGCAGGAUUGAUUCAUGGCAUGUGCGAAUCUUAGACAAGGCCAACCAACAAUAA